rnacentral:rRNA from 1 species
UACGGGGGGGGCAAGCGUUGUUCGGAAUUACUGGGCGUAAAGGGCUCGUAGGCGGCCAACUAAGUCGGAUGUGAAAUCCCCAGGCUUAACCUGGGAACUGCAUCCGAUACUGGAUGGCUUGAAUCCGGGAGAGGGAUGCAGAAUUCCAGGUGUAGCGGUGAAAUGCGUAGAUAUGCGGAGGAACACCGAUGGCGAAGGCAAUCCCCUGGGCCUGCACUGACGCUCAUGCACGAAAGCGUGGGGAGCAAACAGG